rnacentral:rRNA from 1 species
AGAAUCAACGCUGGCGGCGUGCCUAACACAUGCAAGUCGCACGAGAAAGGGUAGCAAUACCUGAGUACAGUGGCGCACGGGUGAGUAACACGUGACUAAUCUACCUUUGAGUGGGGAAUAACCUGGGGAAACCCGGGCUAAUACCGCAUAAUACCUACGGGUCAAAGCAGCAAUGCGCUUAAAGAGGAGGUCGCGGUCGAUUAGUUAGUUGGCGGGGUAAUGGCCCACCAAGACGAUGAUCGAUA